rnacentral:rRNA from 1 species
GAUAAACGCUAGCGGCAGGCUUAACACAUGCAAAUCGAGGGGCAGCAUAGAUUGUAGCAAUACAAUUGGUGGCGACCGGCGCACGGGUGCGUAACGCGUAUGCAACCUACCCGUCACAGGGGGAUAAUCCGGAGAAAUCUGGUCUAAUACCCCAUAACAUAUGGAUCUGCAUCGGUUCAUGUUGAAAUUUUCGGAGGUGACGGAUGGGCAUGCGUAGCAUUAGCUUGUUGGUGAGGUAACGGCUCACCAAGGCGACGAUGCUUAGGGGGACUGAGAGGUUUUCCCCCCACACUGGUACUGAGACACGGACCAGACUCCUACGGGAGGCAGCAGUGAGGAAUAUUGGUCAAUGGGCGCAAGCCUGAACCAGCCAUGCCGCGUGCAGGAUGACGGCUCUAUGAGUUGUAAACUGCUUUUGUACGAGGGUAAAGUGGGUUACGUGUAACCUUUUGAAAGUAUCGUACGAAUAAGGAUCGGCUAACUCCGUGCCAGCCGCCGCGGUAA